CGGACGGGUGAGUAAUGUCUGGGAAACUGCCUGAUGGAGGGGGGUAACUACUGGAAACGGUAGCUAAUACCGCAUAACGUCGCAAGACCAAAGAGGGGGACCUUAGGGCCUCUUGCCAUCGGAUGUGCCCAGAUGGGAUUAGCUAGUAGGUGGGGUAACGGCUCACCUAGGCGACGAUCCCUAGCUGGUCUGAGAGGAUGACCAGCCACACUGGAACUGAGACACGGUCCAG
rnacentral:rRNA from 1 species